AUGCGGCCGGCCGUGACGCACGACGACCUGUCCCUCCGCAAGGCGCAGGAGCGCCGGGCGGGGCGCUCCGGCAGCCAGAUCGCCGUCGCCCUCGUCGCGCUCUCCGUGCUCUGCGGCCUCGUCAGCUUCAUCCUCUGCCUCGCCGCCGAGGGCUCGCGCUCCGAGGUGUCCAACUACCUGAUGACCGUGGCCGGGAGCGAGGCGCAGGUGGAGCUGUGCUUCUACAACGGCAGCGGCCGCUCGGCGCUCGCCUUCUCCAUCGGCGCCUUCCUGCUGCUGGCCGUCGCCAUGUUCGCCGUGCACGGCUACAUGCUGCUCGCCGUCGCUUCGCCGGACUCCGCCGCCGCUGGCCUCGCCGUCGCCGAGGACCACCCCCGCGUGUCCUCCGCCACCAACACCCUCACCUGGCAAACCUGCUGCCUCUUCUUCGUCACGUGGAUUUGCUUCGGGCUCGCGGAGGUGCUGCUCAUGAUCGGGAUCGGGGUGGAGUCCGGCCACGUCAGCGACUGGCGGAGGCCGCGGCAGGUGUGCCACCGGGUGCGCCCGGGGAUGUUCGCGGCGGCGGGGAUACUGGGGCUCAUCACCGUCGUCGUUGGCUUCGUCGUCUACGUGACCGCGGUGCACACGCAGAAGCUGCUGAGGCAGCACGGCGGCGGCCACUACCCGCCGCACCCCGGCAGCGCCCCGUACCCCAGCGUCCAGCAGCACCACCUGCAGCCGCCCGUGUCGUACCCACCACACCCGGCCCCGCACCCACACCCUCAUCCGGCGCCGAAUGCGCCGGAGAUUACGGCGGCCGCGUGCCAGGUGCAGUCCAGCAACGCGUGGUGCAUCACCAAGGACAAGGAGUACACCGAUGUUUGA
rnacentral:rRNA from 1 species